UGUGAAUAAACUUAUCAAAUCUUCCCAAGUGGAUUAAUACAUUGUCAGCUUCUGUAGGACUUGGGCUCCUGUAUUUAUUUAUCUUUAUUUCUAUUCACAUCUAGCGCAGCGCUAAAUAAAUGUUUUUGGAGUGUCAACUGAGGUCAGCCUGCUCUGCAGUAUUGCUCUCAGCUGGCUCUUCCGAGGGGGAGCGAGGAGGAGGAAGGGAGUCUUUUCCUAGUCGCUGGCGCCCGAAUCAACGAGGCAAUCAGCUUUGAUAGGGAAGGAAUUCUGUCCUGGUCAAUUUGUGUCCUCAGUGCCUACUUAUCACAGUGGUCAAAACUCACCAGUGAAGCUCCAUCAUUAAAUAACCAAAAACGUCUGUGGUUCUGUUUUUGUUUGUUUUUUUUUUUUUCAAUUUGACUGCUAUCAAGAUCUGAUGAUGAGGAAAACGGGUUUGAGGUUUGCCUGAAGGAGAGACACUUCUUGAACCUAAAGCAACUCCUCUCACUACAGUCCAAGCAUGCAGUUUAUCAUAGCAGGAGUUUCUAUUUACUGCAGUUGGAGCCAUUCUUGGACCUUCCUCCAUGACUCCUCCUGAACUUGUUUCCCGAAUUAGGACUCCAUUAGCUGUGAACUGGGUAGGAGAAAACAUCUGUCAGAAGACUCUAGCUCACAUUGGAACCAUCAUGUUAUAUGUAAUGGGAUAAUGAAAUAGGUAGCCUUUUGGACUUCCAUCCUAACAUAGGAUUUCAUCAUCUAUAAUAAUUCCUAUAAUUAUUAUUUGUAAUGACAGUAAUUCAUAGUAGAUCAAUAAUAAUUUGAACUAAAAUGUAUAUCUCUAUCCCAUUGGAGUUAUCUGGACUAUCAUGUUAAAUGUAACCACACUCCCGAUUAAUCUCCUUCCAUUUGGCUUCUUCAAUCUAUCUUUUGAUUUCUGAAUAGCCUCAAGAGAUGCUUUUAGAAAGACUUUCUAACUUUUGAUAUCCACAGGGAGGUGGCUUGCAACUGCUAUAUGAUACUCAUGGGAGAUGCUGCUAAUUGGUCUCCAACAAUAGCCCUCUUUGGAAGAAACCAGUCUUUAUUGUUACCAUUGGUAGUGCCAGCAUUGUGAAGAAGAACAUGAGUGAAAUUCUUACACAUUAUUCAAAGAAGUAGCUGAAAAUACCCGAGACUCCUCUCUGAACCUCCGAGAAGUUCAGAUGAGAACUAAUACUACCAGAAGAAGAGACUUGCUAUGCCCUGGGGGAAGCCAGUGCCACCAAGUGGGAACUGUGGGUCAUCUUCAGUCACAACCAACCAUCAACACUAGUCAGCAUCUGAGCACCAUGGAAAACCCUGAAAAAUAAGAGCAGACCAAGGCUCAUCAAAUACAGGGGUCCUUGGGAGGAUCGUGAAUAUUGGUAUUGGGAUUGGGAUUUGAAUUUGAAUCUAUACUUCUAGCUUGCCUCCAGAAAAUCAAAGGUAUAUUGGUGGGAGUUAAUUGGGAUAAGGUUGAUAUUUGAUUUGAGGUUUUACUUAAGUAUCUUAAGAGUUUAUUAAUAAGCAUUUCAAAUAAAGUAAUUUGUUAAUGGAAAAUUUAAUUGUUUUGCUGAAGUUGAUAAUUUCAGAUUAUCUGAAAUGUUCUCUGUCAAAGAAGAAUAUCAUAGACUGUUGAUGAAAUAUCAUUGACUGCCUGCCUGGCUUGUUGGAGUCUGAUUAAUCAAAAGGAAUCUGAAAAUAACUUUUUAAAAUUAUGCAGUAUAAGAAGGUGGUCAAAUGUGUUUGUGAUUUUGAAUAAUAAAUAUGUUUAUAACCUUCA